GAACUUUUUAGCACACAGGACACAGUAGACAAGAAAGCAAAUAAACCUACUGCUCAUCUCUGCAAGGUCUGGACAGUUGUGAAGCUCCACUCACUGUCAGGUUCCAUCAAACCCAACCAAUGUUUAUGAAGAGAAAUGUCAUAUUAUACAUACAAACUGUUUUUUGUUUGUUUGUUUGUUUGUUUGUUUGUUUUUUUCCAGUGACUCAAAGACCACACAAUAUAAACCCAUUGAUCGAGUUCUCAAUUUAUCUUAAGUGGUCUACAUGCAUUUCAUUGGCCGGGAUAGGAAGAAGUGGAUUGUGAUGGAGUUCAGG
rnacentral:lncRNA from 1 species